UCCUAUUUUCUUUUCUCUUCUAUUCUUCUUCUCCCUUUCUUCUUACUUCUUCUUUUCUUCUUCGUUCUUCUGCCGAGCGACCCACGGAGACAGCAAUAGAGAGAGGGAGAGAUUCAGGGAGAUUGAGAGGGAAAGAGAGUCGAGAGACAGUGAGAUGAGACGAGAGAACGAGAUUGAGAAGAGAGGAUCCGGUGGCUCGUGCGGGGAGACUCGGAACCCAGGGGACCCGAUCCUCUGGGGACGGUGGCUAGAACCGAAAACCGACGGUUCCAGUGGAGAUUCCGGCGAGCUCGUGACCCGUAACCCGCCAGACCCGGGAGAGAAGACCCGCGACCCGUGAGCUAAACCCGACAAAUUCGGGAGGACCCGUGCGACCCGAUCUUCAAUGGCGAGGUCCGAUGCGAUUUCCGGUGUUUGGAGGCCGAUUUCCGGCGGUUCUAGUGGAUUUCCAAUGGAGACCCGUUGAACGACGAAGACCCACAACCCAUGGAACCCGAGAGUGAAACCCGUGAUCGUGAGACCCAAGAUCCAGAACCCGGUUCUCUAAGGGCGUUUUCCGGCGACUGCCAGUGGCGUUUUCCGGCGGAUUUCUCUGUUAUUGAACGCAAAAUCAUCGAGGAUUGUGUUGUAAUUGGAAACUUCGAUGGGUUCUCCAAGGUAGAGUUCGAGUAAUUGGAAUCCAGUGGGAGUUCGAGUCAGGAGUCUAAUGCAGCCAAGAUGAUGUUUCUUUGGCUGCAGGUACUUCGGUAUAGUCGAUGGGUCGGUAGCAAUGUGCUUGGGAUAUUAUGACUGAAGCUCGCCGCGACAGUUGUAAUUGUCGGACCACGGGUUGUCCACUAUUUUAUAGGUUUGGUAUGGCUUGUGACGUUUGUGUCACUUAUUCUUUGUUAAGCCAUUAUUGUUAUAGUGUUAAUAAGACUCAAACAGAUAGAUGUUAAAUGGCUCUUUGUUGUAAUUAACUUGUGAUAGAUGUAUAAGUUGUAAUUUCCGCUAUUCA